rnacentral:rRNA from 1 species
GACGAACGCUGGCGGCGUGCUUAACACAUGCAAGUCGAACGAAGUGGCGAACGGGUGAGUAACGCGUAAUCAACUUGCCCUUCAGAGGGGGACAACAGUUGGAAACGACUGCUAAUACCCCAUACUGAAGGUGGGGAUUGAGUCUGAUUAGCUAGUUGGAGGGGUAACGGCCCACCAAGGCGAUGAUCAGUAGCCGGGCGGCAGAGAGGGACGGCAAACAUGGGACUGGGACACGGCCCAGACUCCUACGGGAGGCAGCAGUGGGUAAUCUUCCGCAAUGGACGAAAGUCUGACGGAGCAACGCCGCGUGAGUGAUGACAGCCUUCGGGUUGGAAAGCUCUGUUAAUCGGGACGCGGUACCGGAAUAGAAAGCCACGGCUAACUACGUGCCAGCAGCCGCGGUAAUUC